rnacentral:rRNA from 1 species
CUACGGGAGGCAGCAGUGAGGAAUAUUGGUCAAUGGGCGAGAGCCUGAACCAGCCAAGUAGCGUGCAGGAUGACGGCCCUAUGGGUUGUAAACUGCUUUUAUAAGGGAAUAAAGUGAGUCUCGUGAGACUUUUUGCAUGUACCUUAUGAAUAAGGACCGGCUAAUUCCGUGCCAGCAGCC